CUCCUACGGGAGGCAGCAGUGGGGAAUAUUGCACAAUGGGCGCAAGCCUGAUGCAGCGACGCCGCGUGAGGGAUGACGGCCUUCGGGUUGUAAACCUCUGUUAGCAGGGAAGAAGAGAGAUUGACGGUACCUGCAGAGAAAGCGCCGGCUAACUACGUGCCAGCAGCCGCGGUAAUACGUAGGGCGCGAGCGUUGUCCGGAAUUAUUGGGCGUAAAG
rnacentral:rRNA from 1 species